rnacentral:rRNA from 1 species
UACGUAGGGGGCUAGCGUUGUCCGGAAUCAUUGGGCGUAAAGAGCGUGUAGGCGGCCCGGUAAGUCCGCUGUAAAAGUCAAAGGCUCAACCUUUGAAUGUCAGUGGAUACUGCCGGGCUAGAGUCCGGAAGAGGCGAGUGGAACUCCUGGUGUAGCGGUGGAAUGCGCAGAUAUCAGGAAGAACACCAACGGCGAAGGCAGCUCGCUAGGACGGUACUGACGCUGAGAUGCGAAAGCGUGGGGAGCAAACAGG